rnacentral:rRNA from 1 species
UUCGGUGCUUAGCGGCGGACGGGUGAGUAACACGUAGGCAACCUGCCUGUAAGACCGGGAUAACUACCGGAAACGGUAGCUAAGACCGGAUGUCUGGCUUGGGCGCAUGCCCGGGUCAUGAAACACGGCGCAAGCUGUGGCUUACAGAUGGGCCUGCGGCGCAUUAGCUAGUUGGUGGGGUAACGGCUCACCAAGGCGACGAUGCGUAGCCGACCUGAGAGGGUGAUCGGCCACACUGGGACUGAGACACGGCCCAGACUCCUACGGGAGGCAGCAGUAGGGAAUCUUCCGCAAUGGACGAAAGUCUGACGGAGCAACGCCGCGUGAGUGAUGAAGGCCUUCGGGUCGUAAAGCUCUGUUGCCAGGGAAGAACGUCCCGGGGAGUAACUGCCCUGGGAAUGACGGUACCUGAGAAGAAAGCCCCGGCUAACUACGUGCCAGCAGCCGCGGUAAUACGUAGGGGGCAAGCGUUGUCCGGAAUUAUUGGGCGUAAAGCGCGCGCAGGCGGUCGUUUAAGUCUGGUGUUUAAGCCCGGGGCUCAACCCCGGUUCGCACUGGAAACUGGAUGACUUGAGUGCAGGAGAGGAAAGUGGAAUUCCACGUGUAGCGGUGAAAUGCGUAGAGAUGUGGAGGAACACCAGUGGCGAAGGCGACUUUCUGGACUGUAACUGACGCUG